rnacentral:lncRNA from 1 species
GCCGCAAAUUAAAGAAAAAAAAAGAUGUUUCCUUUUAUUUCUAUUGGUUAUUUUUUAUCUUCAUCUGGUUUACCUCAGACAACAUCAGCUGUGCUAAAAUUAUAUUAUAUUCAUUAAAAGCAAAAACAAGGAAGCAAAGUUCUUAUAAUCUUGUUGCUGUGGAUUAAUUUAAUUCAUCUGUACCAAUUUUUCGUUGAUUGAGGAAAACUAUUGUUUUCAUGGAUUAUAGAUUUCAUGGUUAUGUC